UACGUAGGGGGCAAGCGUUGUCCGGAAUCAUUGGGCGUAAAGAGCGUGUAGGCGGUCCGGUAAGUCGGUUGUGAAAGUCCAGGGCUCAACCCUGGGAUGCCGACCGAUACUGUCGGACUAGAGUUCGGAAGAGGCGAGUGGAAUUCCCGGUGUAGCGGUGAAAUGCGCAGAUAUCGGGAGGAACACCUAUGGGCGGAAGGCAGCUCGCUGGGACGUUACUGACGCUGAGACGCGAAAGCGUGGGGAGCAAACAGG
rnacentral:rRNA from 1 species